GGACGUGCACUUGCUGGGUGACCGCCCGCCGCUCGCGCGGAGCCCCCGCAGUGCGCUGCGGAGGCCCGGGCCCUUGGGCCACGGGGGAGCGUCCCUGUCGCCGCAGGCUUGUUCCCGCCGCUUCUCGGAACGCGCGCCUCUGGUUGCCUUGUCCCCUGCCAGGUCCCAAGCCUAGAACCCCGUGGACGAAGUCCUUGUGCGUGGACGCCUCUGCCUCUGAGUGCUCGGAGGAGUCCUUGCUGGCGACUCCGUGGCCCACAUAACCGGCGACCCAGAAAGCGCGCACUCCUCAAAAAGACUCUGGGUUUGGAUUUUCGUUGGCAACUUAAGGAAUAAUGACUUUGGCACUUAUUAAAACACCCACCUGUUUCCCGCGGUUAGGCCACCCUGAGGCCUCGGAGGUCACCUAUGUAGGAAGGAGAAAGAGAAAGGGAAGAGAGCAGGAGAACCCAGGAAGCCUAAGACAUCAAAAAGGCGGAACACCUUCCUGGGUACCAGGACACCAGCUAUGGCCCUUCUCCCCCCUGGGAGAGUCUGUUCCCCCUUUUUAAGUAAACCUGCUUCAUAUGCUUCCUCAA